rnacentral:rRNA from 1 species
UAUUGCGCAAUGGGGGAAACCCUGAUGCAGCGACGCCGCGUGGAGGAAGAAGGUCUUCGGAUUGUAAACUCCUGUUGUUGAGGAGGAUNAUGACGGUACUCAACAAGGAAGUGACGGCUAACUACGUGCAAGCAGCCGCGGUAAGACGUAGGUCACAAGCGCUGUCCGGAAUUACUGGGUGUAAAGGGAGCGCAGGCGGGAAGACAAGUUGGAAGUGAAAUCCAUGGGCUCAACCCAUGAACUGCGUUCAAAACUGUUUUUCUUGAGUGGUGCAGAGGUAGGCGGAAUUCCCGGUGUAGCGGUGGAAUGCGUAGAUAUCGGGAGGAACACCAGUGGCGAAGGCGGCCUACUGGGCACCAACUGACGCUGAGGCUCGAAAGUGUGGGUAUCAAACAGG